GACGGAGGGUGCAAGCGUUGUUCGGAAUUACUGGGCGUAAAGCGCGGGCAGGUGGCCUUUUAAGUCCUUUGUGAAAUUCCGGAGCUCAACUCCGGAUGUGCAUAGGAUACUGGAAGGCUAGAGACUGGUAGAGGCGAGCGGAAUUCCUGGUGUAGCGGUGGAAUGCGUAGAUAUCAGGAGGAACACCGGUGGCGAAGGCGGCAUCCUGGACCGGCAUUGACGCUGAGGAGCGAAAGCCAGGGGAGCAAACGGG
rnacentral:rRNA from 1 species